GAUGAACGCUGGCGGCGUGCCUAAUACAUGCAAGUCGAGCGAACAGACGAGGAGCUUGCUCCUCUGACGUUAGCGGCGGACGGGUGAGUAACACGUGGAUAACCUACCUAUAAGACUGGGAUAACUUCGGGAAACCGGAGCUAAUACCGGAUAAUAUAUUGAACCGCAUGGUUCAAUAGUGAAGGACGGUUUUGCUGUCACUUAUAGAUGGAUCCGCGCCGCAUUAGCUAGUUGGUAAGGUAACGGCUUACCAAGGCAACGAUGCGUAGCCGACCUGAGAGGGUGAUCGGCCACACUGGAACUGAGACACGGUCCAGACUCCUACGGGAGGCAGCAGUAGGGAAUCUUCCGCAAUGGGCGAAAGCCUGACGGAGCAACGCCGCGUGAGUGAUGAAGGUCUUCGGAUCGUAAAACUCUGUUAUUAGGGAAGAACAAAUGUGUAAGUAACUAUGCACGUCUUGACGGUACCUAAUCAGAAAGCCACGGCUAACUACGUG
rnacentral:rRNA from 1 species